AGGGACAUUACCCCACAUAAUGCCGCAACAUUUUCAACUUGGAAAUUUAACGUGGCAGAUGGAUCCGAUUUUUUAGAGAGCGACCUCGACCCCGCCCUACCGGAAGCUGUCAUGUAAAGGAAAUCUCCCUGGCCACGCCUAGAGUUCAGCACCCUGGACACGGACAGCGACACCGCCUAGUCUAGUCCCAUGACUUGCUGCAGAGAUCUUCACCUGACAAAAUUAUGUCUUGGCAUGAGAGAAAUUUGUGGAAAAAUUGCAGCAUAUAUUUUCUCAAGUUCUUCAUCACAGUAACUCACUGUAGAAAAUAAUGUCUUGAGAUAGAAACUCAUACUUGUCAUAUACCGGCCUUCAUGUUUUCAUUGGUCUUAAAAGGAGAUCUUAAAAAUUGCUGCUUCCUGGAGAAAGACUAUAACAGAACUCAUGUGAGUGAAGAAAAAAUAAUCUGGAAUGAAGAGCUGGAAUUCUUUGUUACAGUAGCAUGAGAAAAAUAUGUGGUUGUUUAGAGCUGAUGAGGAGACAGAUAGCACUUUAGCUAUAGAGAAGAGGAAGAAGUGCCCUCAGGUGACAUUUUGUUUUGGAAAAAGUCUGGAAAAGGAAAAGGGGUCUGUAGUUGGGAGGCACUGCACAGAGACUUGCCCAGGGAGAAAGAGUAAGUGAAGAGAAGGGAAGUGGUUGUGGUUUCUUGAAAAAAAAAAAUGUUAAAUGUUCCAAGGUCAGGUGGUUACUACAGCGACCAGGCAGCUCGUAGCAGUUGAGUGACACAAAUCCUACUUUUAGCAACAGUCUAAAGACCAAUGACAAGAUCUCCCCACCCAAGACUGAGGGAGAAAUUGAGGGGGGCCACACAAACCCCAAUAAGAGUAUCCAAAAAGCCCAAAAUUAGGGGGGCUUUCCAGCUAUGGAGCCCCCUUCUCUUUGGAGAAGAUGUUCUUUGCAAUAAAACUUGCUUUUGUUUGGCAAC